rnacentral:misc_RNA from 1 species
GAUGAAGAACGUGGCGAAAUGCGAUACUUGGUGUGAAUUGCAGAAUCCCGUGAACCAUCGAGUCUUUGAACGCAAGUUGCGCCCGAAGCCACUAGGCCGAGGGCACGCCUGCCUGGGCGUCACACGCCGUUGCCCCCCCAUCUACUCCUUCGGGAUUGCGGGGGGGCGGAUGAUGGCCUCCCGUGCGCCUAGCCGCGCGGUUGGCAUAAAUACCAAGUCCUCGGCGACGCACGCCACGACAAUCGGUGGUUGCGAAACCUCGGUUGCCCGUCGUGUGCGUUCGUCGCGCAUCGAGGGCUCGAAAAAAUGCUCGGCUCCGGCUGGGCUUUCAACGCGACCCCAGGUCAGGCGGGGUUACCCGCUGAAUUUAAGCAUAUCAAUAAGCGGAGGA